CUGGUUACAUGAUGAAUAAAAUCAAAUCACCAUCUUUCGGCUGAGCCUCAUGAUGGAUUUGCUUGUUUCUGAUAAAGUUG
ensembl:snoRNA